UACGUAGGGGCCAAGCGUUGUCCGGAUUCACUGGGCGUAAAGGGCGCGUAGGCGGCCCGGCAGGUCCUCCGUGAAAGCUCCCGGCUUAACCGGGAGAGGCCGGGGGAAACUGUCGGGCUUGAGGGCGGCAGAGGAGAGCGGAAUUCCCGGUGUAGCGGUGAUAUGCAUAGAUAUCGGGAGGAACACCUGUGGCGAAAGCGGCUCUCUGGGCCGUUCCUGACGCUGAGGCGCGAAAGCGUGGGGAGCAAACCGG
rnacentral:misc_RNA from 1 species